UACAGAGGGUGCGAGCGUUUAAUCGGAAUUACUGGGCGUAAAGCGUGCGUAGACGGCUAUCUAAGUCGGGUGUGAAAAGCCCCCGGGCUCAACCUGGGAAUUGCAUUCGAGACUGAAUAGCUAGGGGUGCGGUAGAGGGGAAAGCGGAAUUUCCGGUGUAGCGGUGAAAAUGCGUAGAUAUCUGGAGGAACACCGGUGGCGAAGGCGGCGUCCUGGACCAACACUGACACUGAGGAGCGAAAAGCCAGGGGAGCAAAACGGGG
rnacentral:rRNA from 1 species